UACGUAGGGAGCAAGCGUUGUUCGGAUUUACUGGGCGUAAAGGGCGCGUAGGCGGCAACUCAAGUCAUCUGUGAAAUCUCCGGGCUUAACUCGGAACGGUCAGAUGAUACUGUUUUGCUAGAGUGCGGAAGGGGCUACUGGAAUUCUCGGUGUAGCGGUGAAAUGCGUAGAUAUCGAGAGGAACACCUGCGGCGAAGGCGGGUAGCUGGGCCGACACUGACGCUGAGGAGCGAAAGCGUGGGGAGCGAACAGG
rnacentral:rRNA from 1 species